AAAAAAAGUAAAUCUGGCCUGCAAUAUAACAAGAUUCAAGUAAUAGUAGCAGUAGCAAUUCUUGGAAAAAGAGUAUCUGAAGGUAAGGACGGCUCCUUUUCUCAGAUGUACACUAUGGUCAGGCUCUCCUCCUUAUCCCAGACUUAAUAAAAAGAAUUUCUUAAAAGAAAUGGGAGAAAACAAAGGAUGAUAAAGGAGGAUUAUAACAUGGAUCGAAACUUAAAAGAGUCUCUCACAGAAAAUGAACCAAGAACAUACAUUAAGAAAGAUUUUGGAGAAAAGUUAGGGAAACCACUUCUAUAAAAAUCAAUCCAUGUUAAGUUCAGUUAAGACAAAAUAGAAGCAUUGGAAAUGUCAACUGGAUUAGAAUGUAGAGAAAUUCAAGGCCAAUCCAAG
rnacentral:lncRNA from 1 species